GUUUUCUCAUGGCAUGCUCAUGCAGUUGAUAAUGAAAUGCCGAGUUUUUUAUAACUAGGUUGUCGGCAGGAAUCCAGCUCAGGUUACGAGUGACCGACAGUUGCUACCAUCUACUGGCUGUUUGCAAUCCUGUGUGAAACAACAGGGCAUUGAGACUCCUUCCUGGUCCUGUCGGCCCACGUUGUGGACAAAUGGCUUCUGUCUGGCUGGCAAUCUGACCAAAAGCUUGUUGGGAUUGGCACCCGACAAGGGGGGUAACAUUUUCACAAGUCCUUUGAGCGGGUCUUUGGCUCCUGUAUUGUAACUAAGGUGUGCAGACCUGCUGUUGAAUGGUGGAUGGAUUUGAUCCUGUGCCUGUUCUGACUACGUCUAUCUGAUCAGUAAGAUGGGAUUCAGCUCCAGCUAAAGAUGACUAACUGGCACCUUAAACUUAACUCCUUGUAUGUGUGUAACUGAAAUAAGCCAAGAUCUCCACCAACCAUAUGUGGAACUGAUAUAUACAGGACACAGUCAGACACCUGAGGCUUUCUUGUUUCUCACUGCUCAUGUGUGCAGACCCAUCUGCCUCAUGGUGAUGGCAGCAGGGCUGGAGGAGGUGAUGAGGACCUCUGGGCAGGGCUGUGCAGAAGACAUCUGUGGCUGCUAG
rnacentral:lncRNA from 1 species